rnacentral:rRNA from 1 species
UUGAACGCUGGCGGCAGGCCUAACACAUGCAAGUCGAACGGUAACAGGAAGAAGCUUGCUUCUUUGCUGACGAGUGGCGGACGGGUGAGUAAUGUCUGGGAAACUGCCUGAUGGAGGGGGAUAACUACUGGAAACGGUAGCUAAUACCGCAUAACGUCGCAAGACCAAAAAGGGGGACCUUCGGGCCCCUUGCCAUCGGAUGUGCCCAGAUGGGAUUAGCUAGUAGGUGGGGUAACGGCUCACCUAGGCGACGAUCCCUAGCUGGUCUGAGAGGAUGACCAGCCACACUGGAACUGAGACACGGUCCAGACUCCUACGGGAGGCAGCAGUGGGGAAUAUUGCACAAUGGGCGCAAGCCUGAUGCAGCCAUGCCGCGUGUAUGAAGAAGGCCUUCGGGUUGUAAAGUACUUUCAGCGGGGAGGAAGGGAGUAAAGUUAAUACCUUUGCUCAUUGACGUUACCCGCAGAAGAAGCACCGGCUAACUCCGUG